rnacentral:rRNA from 1 species
AUUGAACGCUGGCGGCAUGCCUUACACAUGCAAGUCGAACGGCAGCACGGGAGCAAUCCUGGUGGCGAGUGGCGAACGGGUGAGUAAAGUAUCGGAACGUGCCCAGUCGUGGGGGAUAACGUAGCGAAAGUUACGCUAAUACCGCAUACGAUCUAUGGAUGAAAGCGGGGGAUCGCAAGACCUCGCGCGAUUGGAGCGGCCGAUAUCAGAUUAGGUAGUUGGUGGGGUAAAGGCUCACCAAGCCGACGAUCUGUAGCUGGUCUGAGAGGAUGACCAGCCACACUGGGACUGAGACACGGCCGAGACUCCUACGGGAGGCAGCAGUGGGGAAUUUUGGACAAUGGGCGAAAGCCUGAUCCAGCCAUGCCGCGUGCAGGAUGAAGGCCUUCGGGUUGUAAACUGCUUUUGUACGGAACGAAAAGGUUUGGCCUAAUAAGCUGAGCUCAUGACGGUACCGUAAGAAUAAGCACCGGCUAACUACGUGCCAGCAGCCGCCGCAG